rnacentral:tRNA from 1 species
GAGAGGGGCCUUAGGUGGCAACGAGAUCUGCUAACUCCCGUACCUGCGGUUCGACCCCGCAGACCACUCG